CGGAGUAGAGUUGGCUUCUGGUGCGUAUCGGACUCCGUUCAUAGCAGUCCAAUAGCUCGUUUCGACCGGUUUAGCUGUUCUAGAACUACUGGCGCUAACGGAUUUUGAGUUUGAUGCACGGAUUUCGAGAAAAUCCAAUAAAACGUGUUUUAUAUGUAAUUGUGCGUGAUAUUUGGCCUUUUGGAGAGAGAGUGGAUUUCGUCGCAAAUCCGCGACCGUUUGAGGUGAAACGAAAUCGUAGCUUUGUUGUCUCCGAGGUGCUGAUCGUACUGGUACGAUCCGUUCGCAAAUCCGACGGACGGAUCUGCGGAGAUCGCACGUUGAUCGAGGAGAGGUCGGUGAGGGCAAAUUGGUAUUUUUGCGAAAGUCGCGAUAUUUUAUGUACCGUUUUGUGUGAGAUCGCACGUGGAGGGGUAUUCACGCAUUUUACUCAGGCUGGGAAGGACUUAGCUUGAAAUAGUAAGUCUAGGUGGACUUUCUUGCAAUUUUGCGCCUUACUUAUGUUGUUUUCUAGGGUUUUCUUGUGAUCCGAGCCCUAGAUCAUCCCUAGUUAACCCUAAUCGCACCCCAGCCACGUUCUUGCCUCCCUCUGACCUAGCCGCACGACUCCCGGCGGCCGCCGACUUAUCUCCGGCCAGGCACCACCACCCCAGCCUUUUCUUUCCCUCUCCCUCUCUUGUUCCCACCUUCCUUCUCCGGCGGCUUGGACCUGAGCAAGGGGAGGACUCAAAACCUCCUCCCUCGGCCGCCUCCACCCUCCCUCGACCGCAGGCACGCAGCCGCCGCCGCCCCGAGCCGCCCGGAGCGCCGCCGCA
rnacentral:lncRNA from 1 species